AUGUGACCCCAGGAUGGGCGAGGCCACCCGCUGAGUUUAAGCAUAUCAAUAAGCGGAGGAAAAAAAAACUAAACA
rnacentral:rRNA from 1 species